ACGUGAGUAAUCUGCCGGGAAGUGGGGGAUAGCUCGCCGAAAGGCGAAUUAAUACCGCAUAUGGCAAGGGAAGACAUCUUUCCAAAGCCAAAGUCGCAAGACGCUUCCUGAUGAACUCGCGGCCUAUCAGCUUGUUGGUGAGGUAACGGCUCACCAAGGCAAUGACGGGUAGCUGGUCUGAGAGGACGACCAGCCACACUGGAACUGAGACACGGUCCAGACACCUACGGGUGGCAGCAGUCGAGAAUUUUUCACAAUGGGGGAAACCCUGAUGGAGCGACGCCGCGUGGAGGAUGAAGGUCUUCGGAUUGUAAACUCCUGUCAUGCGAGAACAAGAAAGUGAUAGUAUCGCAAGAGGAAGAGACGGCUAACUCUGUGCCAGCAGCCGCGGUAAUACAGAGGUCUCAAGCGUUGUUCGGAUUCAUUGGGCGUAAAGGGUGCGUAGGUGGCGUGGAAAGUUGAGUGUGAAAUCCUAGGGCUUAACCUUAGAACUGCACUCAAUACUCCCAUGCUAGAGGAAUGAGA
rnacentral:rRNA from 1 species